rnacentral:rRNA from 1 species
AUACGGAGGAUCCGAGCGUUAUCCGGAUUUAUUGGGUUUAAAGGGUGCGCAGGCGGCCAUUUAAGUCAGCGGUUAAAUCGUGGGGCUCAACCCCAUUCUGCCGUUGAUACUGGGUGGCUUGAUUGCGGUCGAGGUUGGCGGAAUUCGUUGUGUAGCGGUGAAAUGCAUAGAUAUGACGAAGAGCACCGACUGCGUAGGCAGCUGACCAGACCGCAAAUGACGCUCAUGCACGAAAGUGCGGGGAUCGAACAGGAUUAGAUACCCUGGUAGUCCGCACAGUAAACGAUGAAUACUUGUUUUCGGCGAUAUAAUGUCGGAGGCAAAGCGAAAGCGAUAAGUAUUCCACCUGGGGAGUACGCCGGCAACGGUGAAACUCAAAGGAAUUGACGGGG